rnacentral:rRNA from 1 species
UACGUAGGAGACGAGCGUUGUCCGGAUUUACUGGGCGUAAAGGAUGCGUAGGCGGAUGUUUAAGUGAGAUGUGAAAUACCCGAGCUCAACUUGGGUGCUGCAUUUCAAACUGGAUAUCUAGAGUGCAGGAGAGGAAAGCGGAAUUCCUAGUGUAGCGGUGAAAUGCGUAGAGAUUAGGAAGAACACCAGUGGCGAAGGCGGCUUUCUGGACUGUAACUGACGCUGAGGCAUGAAAGCGUGGGGAGCAAACAGG